rnacentral:rRNA from 1 species
CGCAACCCUUGUCCUUAGUUACCAGCACGUUAUGGUGGGCGACUCUAAGGAGGACUGCCGGUGGACAAACCGGAAGGAAGGUGGGGAGUGACGUCAAGUCAUCAUGGCCCUUAUGUCCAGGGCGGACACACGUGCUACAAUGGCCGGCACAGCGGGAAGCGAGGCAGUGAUGCCAAGCGGAUCCCUUAAAGCCGGUCUCAGUUCGGAUUGAAGUCUGCAACUCGACUUCAUGAAGCUGGAAUCGCUAGUAAUCGCAGAUCAGCCAAGCUGCGGUGAAUACGUUCCCGGGCCUU